AUACGUAGGGAGCGAGCGUUGUCCGGAAUGAUUGGGCGUAAAGGGCGCGUAGGCGGCCCGGUAAGUCUGGAGUGAAAGUCCUGUUUUUAAGAUGGGAAUUGCUUUGGAUACUGUCGGGCUUGAGUGCAGGAGAGGUAAGUGGAAUUCCCAGUGUAGCGGUGAAAUGCGUAGAGAUCGGGAGGAACACCAGUGGCGAAGGCGGGUAACUGGACUGCAACUGACGCUGAGGCGCGAAAGUGUGGGGAGCAAACAGGAUUAGAUACCCUGGUAGUCCACACUGUAAACGAUGAAUGCUAGGUGUAAGAGGUAUCGACCCCUUUUGUGCCGGAGUUAACACAAUAAGCAUUCCGCCUGGGGAGUACGGCCGCAAGGUUGAAACUCAAAGGAAUUGACGGGG
rnacentral:rRNA from 1 species